GACAGAGGGGGCAAGCGUUGCUCGGAAUUACUGGGCGUAAAGGGCUCGUAGGCGGUCUGUCACGUCGGGAGUGAAAACUCAGGGCUUAACCCUGAGCCUGCUUCCGAUACGGGCAGACUAGAGGUAUGCAGGGGAGACUGGAAUUCCUGGUGUAGCGGUGGAAUGCGCAGAUAUCAGGAGGAACACCGGUGGCGAAGGCGGGUCUCUGGGCAGUAACUGACGCUGAGGAGCGAAAGCGUGGGGAGCGAACAGG
rnacentral:rRNA from 1 species